rnacentral:rRNA from 1 species
GAUGAACGCUGGCGGCGUGCCUAGUACAUGCAAGUCGAGCGAACGGACGAGAAGCUUGCUUCUCUGAUGUUAGCGGCGGACGGGUGAGUAACACGUGGAUAACCUACCUAUAAGACUGGGAUAACUUCGGGAAACCGGAGCUAAUACCGGAUGAUAUUUUGAACCGCAUGGUUCAAAAGUGAAAGACGGUCUUGCUGUCACUUAUAGAUGGAUCCGCGCUGCAUUAGCUAGUUGGUAAGGUAACGGCUUACCAAGGCAACGAUGGAUAGCCGACCUGAGAGGGUGACCGGCCACAUGGGGACGGAGAUACGGGCCAGACUCAUAGGGGAGGCAGCAGUGGGGAAUAUUGCACAAUGGGCGGAAGCCUGAUGCAGCAGCGCCGCGUGCGGGAUGACGGCAUUCGGGUUGUAAACCGAUUUCGCCGGUGACGAAGCGUGAGUGACGGUAAUGGGUAAAGAAGCACCGGCUAACUACGUG